rnacentral:rRNA from 1 species
CCUACGGGUGGCAGCAGUGAGGGAUAUUGCACAAUGGAGGAAACUCUGAUGCAGCGACGCCGCGUGAGUGAAGACGGUCUUCGGAUUGUAAACCUCUGUCGUAGGUGACGAAAAUGACGGUAGCGACAAAGGAAGCACCGGCUAACUACGUGCCAGCAGCCGCGGUAAUACGUAGGGUGCGAGCGUUGUUCGGAAUUACUGGGCGUAAAGGGAGUGUAGGCGGGCGAGAAAGUUAGAUGUUAAAUCUACGGGCUUAACUGGGAGCUGCGUUCAAAACUUUUUGUCUUGAGUGAAGUAGAGGCAGGCGGAAUGCCUAGUGUAGAGGUGAAAUGCGUAGAUAUUGGGUAGAACACCAGUGGCGAAGGCGGCCAGCUGGCCUUUAACUGACGCUGAGGCUCGAAAGCGUGGGGAGCAAACAGGAUUAGAUACCCUGGUAGUC